rnacentral:rRNA from 1 species
GACGAACGCUGGCGGCGUGCCUAACACAUGCAAGUCGAACGGAAAGGCCCUGCUUUUGUGCGGUCCUCGAGUGGCGAACGGGUGAGUAACACGUGAGUAACCUGCCCUUGACUUUGGGAUAACUUAAGGAAACUGGGGCUAAUACCGGAUAGGAGCUCCUGCUGCAUGGUGGGCCUUGGAAAGUUUCGGCGGUUGGGGUUGGACUCGCGGCCUAUCAGCUUGUUGGUGGGGUAGUGGCUUACCAAGGCUUUGACGGGUAGCCGGCCUGAGAGGGUGACCGGCCACAUUGGGACUGAGAUGCGGCCCAGACUCCUACGGGAGGCAGCAGUGGGGAAGAGUGCACAAGGGGCGGAAGCCUGAUGCAGCAACGCCGCGUGCGGGAUGACGGCCUGCGGGUUGUAAACCGCUUUCGCCUGUGACGAAGCGUGAGUGACGGUAAUGGGUAAAGAAGCACCGGCUAACUACGUG